CAAUAGCGUAUAUUAAAGUUGUUGCGGUUAAAAAGCUCGUAGUUGGAUUUCUGCUGAGAACGACCGGUCCGCCCAUUGGGUGUGUAUCUGGCUCUUUCUUGGCAUCUUCUUGGUGAACGUUACUGCACUUGACUGUGUGGAGCGCUACCCAGGACUUUUACUUUGAGGAAAUUAGAGUGUUUCAAGCAGGCAUACGCCUUGAAUACGUUAGCAUGGAAUAAUAAGAUAGGACCUCGGUUCUAUUUUGUUGGUUUCUAGAGCUGAGGUAAUGAUUAAUAGGGAUAGUUGGGGGCAUUCGUAUUUAACUGUCAGAGGUGAAAUUCUUGGAUUUGUUAAAGACGAACUACUGCGAAAGCAUUUGCCAAGGAUGUUUUCAUUGA
rnacentral:rRNA from 1 species